UGUUGUCGUUGCGUACAAAAGGCUUUUCUCUCCGCCGCGGGGGGGCGGAGCCGGGGGCGGGGCCACAGGGAGAGGGCGUGGCCAGCCCUCCAUGGCGGGGGAGCUGCCCGCGGGAGGCGGGAAAAGGCGUUAGCGCGUCACGUCCGUGCUCGGUGCUGUCCCGCGUCAGCGCUGGGCUGGUUUCCUUCAGAAACGGGUAUAAACUGCCUGAGAAGGAGCUGCGGUUAAUGAGGAGUGAAAUAUUUUCACAGAGCAUCUUCGAAGGCUUCCCAGCAAUUCCCAGCGCUGCUGUUCAGUGGCCACGUCAGGAGAUGGAUCCAGCUCCUCCCGCCCUUGCCCGGGGUCUGGGGCGCGAUGGUGGGGAAGAAAAACCAGCUCCUCCGUGGGGCUGUCAGUGUCAAAUUAAAAGGGUGAACCUUUAAGUAAGCGUGUUGGUGUUUUUCAUGUAAAUGAGGAAUUGCAACCCCCUUUCCUAAAAAAACAUAUAUUUCUAAUGUAUAUACAAGCCUUUAUUGCAACCUUGCUACAGAAGGGACAGAUAUCAUUUUAAAUUCCAUUAACCAAGUUGAGGAAAGUCCUUCUGUAGCUGGCAUGGACCCAGGCAGUGUGAAUUGUAGUAAUACUGGUUUCAACUCUCUUAUUUUCCCUGAAAGAGAAAGCCACUGCCUGUCUGCAUUUUUAAAAUGUAUAUAUAAAUAUGUAUGUGGCUCUGAGCGGUUUUACCUAACGUUAGCAAAAAUCCAGCAUUUCGACCGCCAGGCUAGGUUGCAGAAAUGAGCAUUUAGUUUAAUUCCAGCAGCAGCUGUUCUCAUUGCGGUGCUUUCCCUUAAAGGGAGCCCAGCAGUGAGGAGUUUCUAGUCUGCGGUGAUGCCACAUCUACUUUCCGGGGAAAAUUACUUGAUUCUGGGGCUUUAUUUCACUCUGGGGAUGAGGAGAUACAAACAUCUUGUUUGAUGAAAAGCUCAACAAAUACGAUACUCACCUUGAGCCAACGUGUUAUGCCUGUUUUAAAUCUUGAAAGAAAUGGGAAAAGUCCAAGCAAUACUCUAAUUCAGAGGUUACUGUUGUCAUUGCACAGAAGGACAGAAGAGUACCAAGUCAACCAGAAGAUGAUGGCUGCUUUUAGGAUCAUCUUCAGCACUGGAAGCAAUGCAAAAAUUAGCAGUUGCAUAAUAAUUUCCACUCUAAGUCCCUUUUUCAGUCAACUGUAACUGUACCUAAGUUUAGCAUUAUGAGUCGCCUGUUUCAGGCUGAGUCGUUUGGGAGGAAUCGGUAUUACUGGCAAGUCGAGAAAGAUUAACGAAACCCGCUUUCAAAAACUGUAACAUCAAUUGUCUCCCUUCUUGCUCCCCAAUAAACGUUUUGUUGGGUAAUAA